rnacentral:rRNA from 1 species
UACGGGGGGAGCAAGCGUUGUUCGGAUUUACUGGGCGUAAAGGGCGCGUAGGCGGCGUGACAAGUCACUUGUGAAAUCUCCGGGCUUAACCCGGAGCGGCCAAGUGAUACUGUCGUGCUAGAGUGCGGAAGGGGCUACUGGAAUUCUCGGUGUAGCGGUGAAAUGCGUAGAUAUCAAGAGGAACACCUGAGGUGAAGACGGGUUGCUGGGCUGACACUGACGCUGAGGCGCGAAAGCCAGGGGAGCAAACGGG